rnacentral:rRNA from 1 species
AUACGGAGGGUGCGAGCGUUAAUCGGAAUUACUGGGCGUAAAGCGCGCGUAGGCGGUUUGGUCAGUCAGAUGUGAAAGCCCUGGGCUCAACCUGGGAACUGCAUUUGAUACUGCCAGGCUAGAGUAUGGUAGAGGGAAGUGGAAUUCCGGGUGUAGCGGUGAAAUGCGUAGAUAUCCGGAGGAACACCAGUGGCGAAGGCGACUUCCUGGACCAAUACUGACGCUGAGGUGCGAAAGCGUGGGUAGCAAACAGGAUUAGAAACCCCAGUAGUCC